AAGCUCUAGCUCCGUUCAGUCCUUCGGGAGUGGUGACCCUAGACUCCUAUCACUAGGAGCGCCUUCUGGAGCAAAAGGAGGCUCUACUUGGAUCUGGAAGUCCUGUAGCUGAGGACAAUCCCCAUUUAGUCCUCAGCGAGUUUUUGAGCAGUUAUUUUUGGACAGCUUGUUCUGUUUUUUGGCAUGGGGAGGGGGAGUCUUUAGGACCGACGCAUUCCGUGUCCUGUUCAGUAGUCUGUGUCCCAGAUAGAAGAGCAAUGGCUGGGAUGAUAAAAAGCAUCGUCUCCCUAAUCACAAGUAACCUGCUUUGGACAGUAGCAGGCUGCCACCAGCCAGUCCUUCUGAGAGAAGACUAAAGUUUCCUCCUCGCUUGUGGUCAUCUUGCCUUCAGUUGAUUCUCAAGGUGUCUAUGGCUUCACCUCAUUGGCAUGCUGCCAGGACAACCAGGGAGUGGGUUGGAGCGAGUGGGUGCUGUUUCUGCAUCCCAGGAAUAUUGGGCCACAUCUGCGGCAUGUGGAUCAUUAUCCAUAUUCAAGGUGACCUGACUCACACCUGGGUGCUGUACAUGCUUCAGCAGCCUGCCUCUCCGGCACUUCAGAUAAGUUUUCCCUCCUCCUUCAUCAUGGAAAAGAGGAGUCCACGGCUCCCCUUAGUGAUUCCAAGCAAAGCCAGGGUGGGGGGGGAUGCCCUGAGAGACACCAAAUUCUCAUCAGUUCCACUCUCUUCUCCUUAGUAGCCUCUUGGGUAGUUCAUUUUUACUGGCAAUAAAUAUGUACAACCAUGAAACAUGUCAAGUGGUCCUUGGGUUCUAAAGAUGACAGAAGCCCAGACUGUGGCCAAAGAAUGGCAGAGUGGAGUUCCCACUGUGGCACAAAGGGAUAAGCAGCAUCUUUGCAGCUCCAGGACAUAGUUUUGAUCCCCAGCCAGGCCCAGUGGCUUAGAAGGAUCUGGCAUUGCCACAGCUGUGGCAUAGGUCACAACUGUGUCUCCAGUCUGAUACCUGAACUCCAUAUACUGCAGGGCAGCCAAAAAAGAAAAGGAAAAAAAAAAAAAGAAUGGCAGAGCAAGCACACCCAGAGUCCAGGAAGACUUCCUGUGCUCGGAGUCUGGAGUCACACUCCCAGUAGAUGCCACUUUAUCUCAAAUCAGAGUUUUUCUGCUCCCCAAGAUGGACUGUUUGUUGGCUUGGGUUUGCAUUUAACUUUCUGCUCAAGCCUAAGGAGACUCAACUGCAACCUUAGAUGCCUCCAAAAAUUUUUAGUCCAGAGCUCAAGCUGCCCUGAGUGCCAUACUCUUUGCUCUGUAUUCAAGGCCCUCUAUGACCCAACCCUAAGGUACUUUUCCAAUCAUAUGUCAUUGGAAGCUAACAUUGCAUAGUGACUUAAGUUUGGACUUAGGGUCAGGGUUGCAUUCCAGUUUAACAGGCUUUAUCUCUGUAGCCUAGGAUAAUCACUUAUCUCACUGUGUGUUUCUAAAAGAAAAACAGAGAUAACAGUGUCUAGUGUGUGAGAAUUUGAUGAGAUAAUGCAUGCCAGACCUUAGCCUAGAACCUAGUACAACGUAAGCACUCUUUGAAGCACUUGGAAAGUGGAGUUGCUGUCAGUAGUACAGGUGCCCUCCGCUCCAGCAGAACAGGAUCAGUUAUCAGGUGUACUCAAGGUCUGUGCAUUCCAGCCUAUCUCUGUCUUACUUUGCUCUUCUCCCUUUCUGGAACAUCUUCCCCAAAUCUCACCAAUGCCCAGAUCAAAGCCACCUCAGUCUUGAAGGCUUCAUUGACCCUCCCAGCAGGAAAGUAUCGGUGCUAGAGGUUGAUUUGUGCAGGUUUUUGCUAUAAUGUAGCUGUAAAUACACAGCGUUAUAGAUGGGGCUUGGCGACUGUGUCCUCAGGGGUGGAAUGCAGGAGGCUCCAGGACCUAAGGUGGGUGCGUAGUCUUUCUCUGGCACUUUGGCAAGUUCUCUGAGCAGAUCUCAGAGUUCCUCUCGUCGUAAAAACUCUGUGAGUCCUCAAGGAGGUACCUCUGUGAACUAGUUUGUCAGCUACAGCAAGCCUUGGAGAAGAAGCUUUCUUGAGGAUAGCGCAUGGGCACUCCUGGCUGGCUGUGUUCCCAUUUACCCAGUAAAAGCAAUCCUGGGUGGUGGGGUUGGCUCCCUCUGCACCGUCUUGGUUUCAUGGGCCCAACCUUUGCCCUUCCGCCCCCUACUUGUGUUUAGAUCCAAAGGUCUAAGCUAGUUCUCCUUCCCUAUAUUCACAGCAACUUCUCCUGCCUUAGCUUCUCUUAGGACUUGGGGUCCCUUUCUUGGGACAUGAUUCCAGUCAGUCUUGUGUGACUAUUAUUUUGUGUAUAAUUUCUUCCUCUAUUGGAUUAGAAGCUCCUUUAAGGCAAGGAUUAUGUUGGCUUGAUUUCCUUACCAUGUGCAGAGCCAAGCACAACACUUGGCUCAUCCUCAGUACCUAGUGGUUUUGUGUUAACUUAAUUGUUAUAAGUGAGGUUAUAAGUUAUAAGUGAAGAUCAUAAUUACCAAUUACCAUGUGUUCACGAUCUGUCUGGCCCAGCGCUAAGAGCUUUACAUCUGUUAUCUCAGGUAAUCCUCAUGUUAGUUUUGUAAAGAAAGCUUUUCUGUCCUCUACUUAAAGAUGAGAACUGGAGGCUUAGAGGCAAUAAUUGUCUUGGCCAAGGUCAUAGAACAAGGAAAAGGUAGA